GUCGGGUGUGGUGGCUUACGCCUGUAAUCCCUGCACUUUGGGAGGCCGAGGAGGGUGGAUCAUGCGGUCAGGAGCUCGAGACCAUCCUGGCUAACAUGCUGAAACCCCGUCUCUACUAAAAAUACAAAAAAAAAAUUAGGCGGGCGAGGUGGCGGGCGCCUGUAGUCCCAGCUACUCNCCACCACGCCUAGCUAAUUUUUGUAUUUUUAGUAGAGACGGGGUUUCACCAUGUUGGCCAGGCUGGUCUCGAACUCCUGACCUCAGGUGACCCACCCGCAUCGGC
rnacentral:SRP_RNA from 1 species